CUCGAUCUUCAUGUAGUUCGGUUUAGAUCGGACCCACUUUGAUCCGAGAUGGAUCAUUUAUGGUACGGUUUAGAUCAGAUCCACUUAGGUUCGAGUCGAACCCUUUGUGAUUCAGAUCGGAUCGGACCCACUUCGGUUCGAGUCGGAUAUUUUACGGUUUGGUUCGGAUCAGACCCAUUUGGAUUCGAGUUGAAUCCUUUGUAGUUCAGUUCGGAUUGGACCCUUCGGUUCAAGUUGAAUCCUUUACUGCUUGGUUCAGACGGGAUCCAAUUUUGUUCAGUUGGGAUCGGACCCACUUUGGUUCAAGUCGAAUCCUGUUCGGUUCAGAUUAGACCCACUUUGGUUCGAGUCGGAUCCUUUACGGUUUGGUUCGGAUUGGACCCACUUCGGUUUGAGUUGGAUCCUUUACGGUUAGGUUCGGAUCGGACCCACUUCGGUUCGAGUUGGAUCCUUUGCGGUUCGUUUUGGAUCCACUUCGGUUCAAGCUGAAUCCUUUACUGCUUGGUUCAGAUGGGAUCCGGUUCGGUUUAGUUCGGAUUGGAUCCGCUUUGAUUCAAGUCGAAUCCUGUUCGGUUCGGAUUGGACCCACUUUGGUUCGAGUCGAAUCCUUUACGGUUUGGUUCGGAUCGAACCAACUUCGGUUCGAGUCGGAUCCUUUAUGAUUCGGUUUGGAUCCACUUCGGUUCAAGUCGAAUCCUUAAUGGUUCAGUUCAGAAAGGCUCCGGUUCGGUUUGGAUCCAGUUCGAUUCAGUUCGGAUCGGAUUCACUUUGGUUCAAGUCGAAUCCUUAAUGGUUCGGACGAGAUCCAGUUUGGUUCAGUUCGGAUCGGAUUCACUUUGAUUCAAGUCGAAUCCUCUAUGGUUAGGUUCGGACAGGAUCCGGUUCGGUUUGAAUCCGGUUCGGUUCAGUUCAGACCGGAUUCACUUUGGUUCAAGUCGAAUCCUUUAUGGUUCGGACGAGAUCCGAUUUGGUUCAGUUCGGAUCGGAUUCACUUCGGUUCAAGUCGAAUCCUUCAUGAUUCGGUUCAAGUCAAACCAGCUUGUAGUUUGGUUUGGUUCGGUUAAUAUCUUUAAUGGUUCAAUUUAGGUUGAUUGGAAUGAGACUCGAUUUAAAUUAGACCCAUUGAUUAGAUUGGAUCGGCUUAUCGUCCGGUUUGAUUUAUCAUUAUGGUUUGGCUCGCCGGGGUCAAGCCUAUCACGAAGACGGCGACCCGAUUUAAUUAGUCAAACUCGGGUCAAGCCUAUCACGAAGACGGCGACCCGGUUUAAUUGAACCGAACUCGGGUCAAGCCUAUCACGAAGACGACGACCCGGUUUAAUAGUCGAACUCGGGUCAAGCCUAUCACGAAGACGGCGACCCGGUUUAAACGA
rnacentral:lncRNA from 1 species